UCACACCUGUUAAGAAAAAAAACAAAAAAUAAAACAAACGUGAUGUGCCUGGCACUUCACUCAGUCUGAGCCUCCUUUCAGUCAUCCCAGAGCCUGCCUGUCACUUCCUCAGCCUGUCAGCUGGCCUACCAGUGCUGGCCACCAGAGGGCGCUUGGAAAUAUGAGACACCCGAAGAACUGGGUUACCAUUCUAGGUUUCAAAAUUGCCAAAAUAAACUUUGGGGAGGAAAAUCCCUAUUUGGAAGGG